CCUACGGGAGGCAGCAGUGAGGAAUAUUGGUCAAUGGACGCAAGUCUGAACCAGCCAUGCCGCGUGCAGGAAGACGGCUCUAUGAGUUGUAAACUGCUUUUGUACGAGGGUAAACGCAGAUACGCGGAUCUGUCUGAAAGUAGCGUACGAAUAAGGAUCGGCUAACUCCGUGCCAGCAGCCGCGGUAAUACGGAGGAUUCAAGCGUUAUCCGGAUUGAUUGGGGUUAAAGGGUGCGUAGGCGGUCGGAUAAGUUAGAGGUGAAAUCCCGAGGCUCGACUUCGGAAUUGCCGCUGAUACUGUUCGGCUAGAGCGUAGUUGCGUUCGGCGGCAUGUGUGGUGUAGC
rnacentral:rRNA from 1 species